rnacentral:rRNA from 1 species
GAGUAGUAUUAGUUGUGUUCUUGAAACUUAAAGAAUUUGGCGGUAUCCUACUCCGUUCAGAGGAAUCUGUCUCGUUAUCGAUAGUCCGCGUUGGACCUUGCUUAGGGUUAAUUUUGGUUUGUAUACCGCCGUUUAUUGAUUAUCUUUUUAGAGUAUCUUGAAUUUUCUGGUUUCUUUAAUUUGAUUUAUUGCAGGUCAAGGUGCAGCUUUUUCUAAGUGUAAUGAUGGAUUACAGUGGUAUGUGUUGUUUGGAUUGUUUGUUUAAAUAUGGGCAUGAAAUUGGAUUUGGUUGUAAUGUUUUGUAGAUUGUUUUCAUGAUAGUUGGUUCUAGGAUAUGUACACAUCGCCCGUCGCUCUCAUUUAAGUUUUUGAUGAGAUAAG